CGCUUUUGAAUAAAUCACCAGUCCUACUAAUACUUAAAAAAAAAGGAUAUGUAAAUUUUGAUACUCAUGCAUGUUAAUUUGACAACAAAAUUGUAUAUUAUGUAACUUAUUAACAACAGUUAUUAUAGUCCAAAUAUAGUCUCUAUUGUGGGUUGUAUUUGUUGAUAGGUUACUGUCUCAAUAAUAUGUAUAUCAAGACGUGUUCCUUUGAAUGCGAAUAUACACC
rnacentral:lncRNA from 1 species